rnacentral:rRNA from 1 species
CCUACGGGUGGCUGCAGUGGGGGAUAUUGCACAAUGGGGGAAACCCUGAUGCAGCGACGCCGCGUGAGUGAAGAAGGAUUUCGGUAUGUAAAGCUCUAUUAGCAGGGAAGAAAAAAGACGGUACCUGCCUAAGAAGCCCCGGCUAACUACGGGCCAGCAGCCGCGGUAAAACGUAGGGGGCAAGCGUUAUUCGGAUUUACUGGGUGUAAAGGGCGGGUAGCCGGGAAUACAAGUCGGAAGUGAAAUACCCAGGCUCAACCUUGGAACUGCAUUUGAAACUGUAUGGCUGGAGUGCUGGAGAGGUAGGCGGAAUUCCUAGUGUAGCGGUGAAAUGCGUAGAUAUUAGGAGGAACACCAGUGGCGAAGGCGGCCUGCUGGACGGUAACUGACGUUGAGGCCCGAAGGCGUGGGGAGCAAACAGGAUUAGAUACCCGAGUAGUC